CUUAGCCAAAAGCUGUGAGCUACCCCAGCUGCUCGGUCAUCCACAUUAGCAGUCUGGCAGUGCGGCUGAGGUGGGUUGGCCUUGGCAGGAUGUCAGGUACCCACCAUGCUGCUCCUUCUCAGCAAGACAGGGAGAAAAUACAGUGAAAAAAGGUUAUGAUAAGUACAGGGAGACCCCUCACCACUUACCGUCACAUGCAAAACAGACUCAGCUUUCAGAAUAUUAAUUCAAUUUAUUGCCAACUAAUAACAGAGUUGGACAGUGAAAACCAAAAACAAAAUUGAAAAUACUGUUUCCCCAUCCCCUUUCUCCCCAGGCCCGACUUUACUCCUGAUGUUUCAACCUCCUGCCCCCAAGCAACACAGGGAAACAGGGAAUGCUUUGUCUCUGUCACUCCUUCACGGCCACUCUGCCCCUGCUCCACAUGAGUACCUUCCACAGGAUGCCAUCCUUCCUGAACUGAUGCCAGUGGGCUUCCCACAGGCAGCAGCUCCCCCAGCCCUCCUGCCCCACCAUGAGCUGCUCUCUACAUACUGCAGCUCUGGGCUCAGGUGCUCCUGUGGGGCCUUUCCAUGGGUGUUGGCCUCCAGGCCCCAUCUACCACCACACUACAGGCCUCUCCAUGGCUGCACAUGGAGAUGUGCCCUGCAUGGUGCCCAUGGGCUGCAGGGGGACAGCCUGCUCCACCGUGGGCCUCUCCUGGGCUGCGGUCCCUUUCUUGAAUCUGCUUUCCCAAAAACGCCCGGUGUGCUCAUGGCUCUGACAUUGGGCAGCUGAUGGGCUCUCCGCAUACAGACCUGCCCUGCAGUUCCCCACUACCAAUACCUUGUCAUGUGAACAGUUCAUACCUACACCUCUAAUCAAGUGGAUCCAUAAACUUCUUUUUCUUGCUAUCCUUUCCUCAGAGAUGCAAGGAGGUUCAGCUUUCCUGGCUGGACCAGGACUGCAGCAGCAUGUUGAUGCUCGAGUAAUGCCAGAAAUGGGGCCAGAAUUGCACUCACUCAUGACAUGCAGACAGCUUGGCUCCACUCUGCCCUGCCUGUGAAGCUGUCCUCCCUGGGGACUGCUCAGAGAGCACUUCCACCAGCAGGUGCCAAGCAAGUGCUUUGCCCCUGUCCUGCAAUGAGACACCUACAUUGCCUACAGGUGUUCUUAUUAUUGGCUCUGAAGCUGUGGCUGUGCAUCUGUCUUUUUGUCUCUGGGAAGCAAUGCUAUUCUGCCUGUAGCAUUAUUACACAGUGAUGUUUUGGGAAGAGUCAGAGAAAGUGAAGGAGCAUAUUCGGCUUAAUUUCUGCUGGUUUGAAGGAAAUGCUGUUGGAAGCUUCCUGAGCACCAGGCAGCAUGUACAUGGACUGGAGGUCCCAAAGGAGAUGAGGCUGCUUGCUGCUCAUGGCUGGUUGUGCUUCAGGAAAGCUGUCCCUGAGGACAAGAGCAAGGACGACAUCCCUGCCGCAGCUGCAGAGCCCCACACCAGCCCCUGCUCACUGACAGCAAGACUCAGGGCAUCCUUGACAGGUGAUGGCAGUGAUGGGCAGAGCAGUAACGUGGCACAGAGAGCUCUAAAGCAUUGCAGUGCCCAAUGCAGUCAGGAGGGAAAAGGUGUUUGUUUUUCACAGGACCUCCAGUGUGAAUAAUUCCAACAUGCAGUCUGCCUUCCAAAAAAGAUGUUAGCCCUUCAGAGGUGUGAUUCUCUUGAAGGCAACAGCAGAGCAAGUGAUGCAUUUAAAGCCUGGGUGGUCCGUACAGCAGGAGCCUCACCGUAGCAGAAAAUCACUCUGUCAGAUACUUAGGGGGAUGCUUAGCUUCCAGAAACACACAGCGGAGCAAAAUGAACUGAAAUCCAGGCAAAUGCACAGCAGCCAGCAGGAUGACACAUGCCUCUUGAAUUAUGCAGGUGCUUAAGGAAUUUGUGUAACUGUAGACUGUAGUUUGUUUUUGUUUGCAGCACUUUGCAUGAUUUGAUUUUCUUUAUAUAUAUUACAACAUCAGAAGCAAGCAGUAGGGUCAGGUCUACUGUGCAUGGGGGAACCUGCACAUCUGUCACAGACUUUCCAGAAACUCACUUGGAGAUUCUCUGAAUAAAUGACCAUUUAGCCAGGCUGAUAUUCUCUGGAAUCAUGGAAAUCCACCGACACAAAGCAGCCUUGGAGGGAACCAGUCCAAGGGGAAAUUCCCACACAGCAGAGAUAGCUGAUCUAAAUGGUCUAACAUUGGCUUCAAAUCUGUGAAAUGCUGCAGAACAACAGAGCUGCAAAUACAGCUAGGUGAGUAUCAGGGAGGGAAUAAGGUUGUUGCUAAACUCCACCCCCUCACAAACAGUAAAAUGGAUGAGAAAACAUUGCCUGAAAGACUAACAUUUACAACCAUAUAUUUGCAUCGUACAAUUUCCAUGUAAUUGCCAGAAGUAUUUGACCCAAGAAUCAAAUACUAUGGCGAGGAAAGCACUAGUAUUUGCAGUUAGCUGUGUCAGGGUGGGUUAGGUAUGCUUAAUCAAGUCUCUUCUCAACUGUAACCAGCUAGUCGGUGGUGGGAGUGGUGGUGGGAUAAUGCCAGCAGGAUAAUGCUCAGGGGUCAGAUUCAUAUCUUGUUUGACUUCAGUUUUUGUCCAAAAAUGAGUUGGGGAAAAAUUUUUAUUGGAAACGGGAUCAGAGCAUGAUGCAUUCAUGUAUUCAUCUGUCAGUAAACGUCCUCUUCCAUCCUGCUCUGUUUGUUCCUCCCAGGUGAUCGGUUUCUGUUCUGCUACAGGGCACGUCCAUUGCCAGCUGGGGUGUCAGACCUGCUCCAGGAUGAUGGCCCAUCCAUCACACAGGAACACCACAUGUCCUAGGAGAGCCUUAGCAACUCCAACAAAGCUGAUUUUGCCCCUGAAAGGUAUGAUGAAACCAAGUCUGAUGGCUUCUGUUGCUGUUUUAUUCUGUUUGCAGUGCAAGGAAGGCUCCUCCUGGGCCGAAGAAGGUCUACCACAGAGUUUGUCAAGAUUUUGUCUUCUCUGGAUAGUGGCUCCAGGUAGCACCAACUUCUGGCAGGCCAGAUAACACCUGUUCCCUGACUCUUGCUCUGGAAGGAGCCAGCCUUGAGGUGCUGUCCAACCUCCUGUCCACGAGCAGAAGGUAGAUAGAGUGAUGCACAUUGCGGGGCUGGUUUGACAGUGCCCAAAGUUCUGAGGCCAACACCCCCGAUUCCUGCUGCACUACAGAUGACAAGUGGCCAAAGCCAGCCCGGUACUCCAACAGCAGGACACAGAAAAAGCAGUCCUCUGAGGCACCAGAAUGUGACCACUGGAGAACUGCAGUCCAAGAUAAUAGAGAUGUGUCAGUCAGGUUGAACGACUGACAGGGCUGGUUCCACAUACCCACGAUGCUGGGCUGGAGGAGUUUGGUACACU
ensembl:lncRNA